rnacentral:lncRNA from 1 species
GAGGAAGUACCUACAAAUGGUUUUUGCAAUGGUGUCCAUACGGCAUACGUACAAUUUGCAAACAGGAAAGGUCUUUGCUCAAGAGAUAACUUUUCUUCCUAUGGCAUAUGGCUUUCUAAAUAUUUUCUCAGAAUCUCAAGGAUUCUCAUAGACCCCAUAAUAUGCUAUAUGAUUGGCUAGGUUUGCAUCUUAAUUAGUUUAAUACUAGGUGAAUCUUUUUUCUCGUGUGAUGUGAAGAUGAC